rnacentral:rRNA from 1 species
UGGGGAAUUUUGCACAAUGGGGGAAACCCUGAUGCAGCGACGCCGCGUGAUUUAGAAGGCCUUCGGGUUGUAAAAAUCUUUUCUAUGGGAAGAAAAUGACAGUACCAUAGGAAUAAGGACCGGCUAAUUACGUGCCAGCAGCCGCGGUAAUACGUAAGGUCCGAGCGUUGUCCGGAUUUAUUGGGCGUAAAGGGUACGUAGGCGGGUAAGCAAGUUAGAAGUGAAAUCCUGUAGCUCAACUACAGUAAGCUUUUAAAACUGCUCAUCUUGAGAUAUGGAAGGGAAAGUGGAAUUCCUAGUGUAGCGGUGAAAUGCGCAGAUAUUAGGAGGAAUACCGGUGGCGAAGGCGACUUUCUGGCCAUAAUCUGACGCUGAGGUACGAAAGCGUGGGUAGCAAACAGG